UACGUAGGGUGCGAGCGUUAAUCGGAAUUACUGGGCGUAAAGCGUGCGCAGGCGGUCUGUUAAGACCGAUGUGAGAUCCCCGGGCUUAACCUGGGAACUGCAUUUGUGACUGGCAAGCUAGAGUAUGGCAGAGGGGGGUAGAAUUCCACGUGUAGCAGUGAAAUGCGUAGAGAUGUGGAGGAAUACCGAUGGCGAAGGCAGCCCCCUGGGCCAAUACUGACGCUACAUGCACGAAAGCGUGGGGAGC
rnacentral:rRNA from 1 species